UUCAAUAUGGCAGACUAGUGCUAUGGACUUAAAAUUCAUAAAUGAAGAAACCUUCUAUUGAAA
rnacentral:tRNA from 1 species